rnacentral:rRNA from 1 species
AUUGAACGCUGGCGGCAGGCCUAACACAUGCAAGUCGAACGGUAACAGGAAGAAGCUUGCUUCUUUGCUGACGAGUGGCGGACGGGUGAGUAAUGUCUGGGAAACUGCCUGAUGGAGGGGGAUAACUACUGGAAACGGUAGCUAAUACCGCAUAACGUCGCAAGACCAAAGAGGGGGACCUUCGGGCCUCUUGCCAUCGGAUGUGCCCAGAUGGGAUUAGCUUGUUGGUGGGGUAACGGCUCACCAAGGCGACGAUCCCUAGCUGGUCUGAGAGGAUGACCAGCCACACUGGAACUGAGACACGGUCCAGACUCCUACGGGAGGCAGCAGUGGGGAAUAUUGCACAAUGGGCGCAAGCCUGAUGCAGCCAUGCCGCGUGUAUGAAGAAGGCCUUCGGGUUGUAAAGUACUUUCAGCGGGGAGGA